rnacentral:rRNA from 1 species
GAUGAACGCUGGCGGCGUGCCUAAUACAUGCAAGUCGAGCGAACAGACGAGGAGCUUGCUCCUCUGACGUUAGCGGCGGACGGGUGAGUAACACGUGGAUAACCUACCUAUAAGACUGGGAUAACUUCGGGAAACCGGAGCUAAUACCGGAUAAUAUAUUGAACCGCAUGGUUCAAUAGUGAAAGACGGUUUUGCUGUCACUUAUAGAUGGAUCCGCGCCGCAUUAGCUAGUUGGUAAGGUAACGGCUUACCAAGGCAACGAUGCGUAGCCGACCUGAGAGGGUGAUAGGCCACACUGGAACUGAGACACGGUCCAGACGCCUACGGGAGGGAGCAGUAGGGAAUCUUCCGCAAUGGGCGAAAGCCUGACGGAGCAACGCCGCGUGAGUGAUGAAGGUCUUCGGAGCGUAAAACUCUGUUAUUAGGGAAGAACAAAUGUGUAAGUAACUAUGCACGUCUUGACGGUACCUAAUCAGAAAGCCACGGCUAACUACGUG